AAGGGUAUAGCUCAGUGGUACAGCACAUGCUCAGCAUGCACGAGGUCCUGGGUUCAAUCCCCAGUACCUCCA
rfam:Camelus ferus unplaced genomic scaffold scaffold78, whole genome shotgun sequence.